rnacentral:rRNA from 1 species
AUUGAACGCUGGCGGCAUGCUUUACACAUGCAAGUCGAACGGCAGCGCGGGCUUCGGCCUGGCGGCGAGUGGCGAACGGGUGAGUAAUGCAUCGGAACGUGCCCAGUAGUGGGGGAUAGCCCGGCGAAAGCCGGAUUAAUACCGCAUACGACCUGAGGGUGAAAGCGGGGGACCGAAAGGCCUCGCGCUAUUGGAGCGGCCGAUGUCGGAUUAGCUAGUUGGUGGGGUAAAGGCUUACCAAGGCGACGAUCCGUAGCUGGCCUGAGAGGACGACCAGCCACACUGGGACUGAGACACGGCCCAGACUCCUACGGGAGGCAGCAGUGGGGAAUUUUGGACAAUGGGGGCAACCCUGACCCAGCCAUGCCGCGUGCGGGAAGAAGGCCUUCGGAUUGUAAACCGCUUUUGUUCGGGAAGAAAUCCUCUGGGCUAAUACCCCGGGGGGAUGACGGUACCGGAAGAAUAAGCACCGGCUAACUACGUG